rnacentral:lncRNA from 1 species
CAGCCGAUUUUUAUUCUGUGCAAUAUGUGCUCAAGCUAUUCUCUUUGUAACCCUCUUUGCAAGUAUCUGAGAUCUGACCUGUUUAUCUUUCUUUUUUACUUGACUGUGGGGUAAGAACCUGCUGUUUACACUAAGUGAGGUGUGGAGCUCUCUACACAAGCCCUGCUGAGAAAAAGAAAUUCAGUCUUAACAAUUCCAACCGGAAAGGCUGUUUCAACAAUGGCACCUCGCUUGCCUCUCCUUUCAAAACUGAGUCCUAGUUUUUAUCACUUUGCAGUAGCCUCGGACACAAUACAGAGCACCAGAUGGACAUGAGGAUGUGUGAUUUUGCUCAUCGAUUCUGAAAAAGUAUUUCAGCAAAAUGAGUAACAUUAUCUCCAUCUUAAACAAGGGAAAACUGAAGCCCAGAGAAGGGUCCAGAGAGGGAAAAGCCAACGGGACACUCACCUUGGAGUCUACUAGAGUCUUUUCUGUUCAUUCCUGACUCCUUUGCUGAAGAAAAAGCCUAACAAGUCUGGAUAGUCACAGGAAAUCAUGUUGAGCUGUCAGAUUUGCGGUGGUGCUUUUUCUGCAAGCAAGUAUCUGACUGUUUCCUGCUGGCUGCUAAGGACAGCACUCAUCACAUCACUGUUUUGCUCGCCUGUGUGGCUCUUCCCAUCUACACUGCAAUUCGAUUCUGCUCACGGCUGUAUCCUCAGGGUCUUGCAGAGUAAUUGGUAUAUGGUGCUGCCUCCGCAACCCAGGAUCCUACCAGCUGCAGAAGUCGCGAGUAAUGCCAGCCGGGCUCCGAAGACUCCCUCAGCCCCCGGGGCCAGUGGACAGUGCCCACAUCCUCUGUGGCCCUCUCGCAGCUGUAGAAGACAGGCACAGGUCUUCCGUUGUGUGCAGAUAUAUUGAAUGCCUGGUAUGUACAAGAGGAGGGAAUCCACUGGUGAGUGAGCAAGACGAGGUCCCUAUCCAGUGGGGGUUAUUCUGUUGGGAGAUAAAAGAAUGAUUCAGGAGUGGGAUGUGUAUUCUGCAACUUAUCUCAAUCUUCGUCAAUAGCUAUUUCUUGCAUUUUUAAAGAAACCAUGAGAAACGUGAGGAGAGAGACUGUGUCCUUCAUCUCCUGUCUCCACAAGUGGCACAGGUCCAAGGAAAGGUGGCCUGGUUUGAGGUCAGCAGGGCUUCAUUAUUCAUAGAGGUUGCUGCCCAGUUUUGGCAGGGAGGAGGGGCUGCUUAUGGGAGGAGGGACUGGGCUUCCCAGAGGCCUGGUGGACUCCUCUCUAGCAGUGGGUGGGAAGAGGAAUUUAAUGAGCUUUUAAAGAAGACAAUAAAGAAGAUCCAAAGACCUGGCCAUCUGGACUUCUGCUCUUAAUGAGAAAGUAAUCAUGGCUCCAGAAAAUAGCUGGUUAAACUUAGAAGAGAAGCCAAGUAUGUUUAAUUUCCAUUGAAAACUGUUUGGUAGUCUCCAUGGGCAAGGCUGUGACAGUCAGUGCCACUUAAUGAGGCUGCCAUGGGCUUCUCCAGCUCAGGGAGAAGGAAGUCAGGGGACCAGGGAGGUAGGUUCAGGGCAGGGAAAAUGCUAGAGGCUCUGGGAGGUGAUUCCCUGGGUGCAGAGACGCAGCCAAGACCCCUAUGGUCAGGAGACCUAUGGUGCCCUUAGAAUCAGAGCUGAAGGAACUGUGGAGUUCAUCUGGCCCAACCCCUUUAUUAGAUGAGAAACCCGAGGCCCAUAGAGGUUAGACAGCCUGAUCAAGGUCAGACAGCUAGGUGGUGACAAAGCCAGGAGUUAGCCCUGAGUUCUCCUGACUCAGCAGGAAGCCAAGCCCCCCUCAAGUAGGAUAUGGGAAACUUGGCUGCUACCCCACCAUAUACAGACAUGUUUCAAGAUUAGUAUCUCGUCCUCCAUCCUUUCUCUCUCCCUCCCAAGAAGAACUGAAUGCCUGUAUGCUCCAGGGACUGGGAUAGGUGCUGAGGAGAGAGACGUCCAGUGCACAGGGCCCUCCUGGCUGAGCCUGGGAACUUCAGGGACCACCUUCUGGAGGACAGGAUGCCUGUGCUGAGUCUUGAAGAAUGAGAGGGAUUCCAGCAUGGGACAGGCUUUGAGAAGGCAAAGGAGAUCCUGAGAAUUUCAUUUCAGGCAAGUGACUGGUGAUGGUGUGAAGGGUGAAUCUAAGAGGAGCAGAGGCUGGCAGGGGAGACCUGUGAGAAGGCAGUCAUCUAAGGAAGAGAUUAUGAGGACAUAUGGUUGCAAGUAGUAGGCAGGAAGGAAAAGAUUUAAGAAUACAUAAAAGGUAGAAUUAGCAAACCUGCCAAUUGGUGAAGAGGGGGAGUGAGGCAGAAGGAGGAGCCAGGCUGAGUCCUCAGGCUCUCCUUCCCCAGCCAGAGUCCUGAUGGCUCCCUUCCACAGCUCCAGGCUGCUGGCUGAACAUCUCCAUGCACACAGCCUUCUGGCCUCUCAAACCCUCCACUGGAUUCUGCACAAAAUCAUCUCCACC